UACCUGCAGCUCGAGUGGUAACCGCUAUUAUUGGGCCUAAAGCGUCCGUAGCCGGUUUGGUAAAUAUCUGGGUAAAUCGUGAGGCUUAACUUCACGAAUUUCGGAUAGACUGCCAGACUUGGGAUCGGGGGAGGUCAGAGGUACUCCAGGGGUAGCGGUGAAAUGUUGUAAUCCUUGGAGGACCACCGGUAGCGAAGGCGUCUGACUAGAACGAGUCCGACGGUGAGGGACGAAGCCCUGGGCGCAAACCGGAUUAGAUACCCGGGUAGUCCAGGGUGUAAACGAUGUGGGCUUUGUAUUGGAGGUCCCACGUGGGCGUCCAGUGCAGAAGAGAAGUUGUUAAGCCCACCGCCUGGGAAGUACGGUCGCAAGGCUGAAACUUAAAGGAAUUGGCGGGGAGCACAGCAACGGGAGGAGCGUGCGGUUU
rnacentral:rRNA from 1 species